CGUCAAGUCCUCAUGGCCCUUAUGGGUAGGGCUACACACGUCAUACAAUGGCGCGUACAGAGGGUUGCCAACCCGCGAGGGGGAGCCAAUCCCAGAAAGCGCGUCGUAGUCCGGAUUGGAGUCUGCAACUCGACUCCAUGAAGUCGGAAUCGCUAGUAAUCGCGGAUCAGCAUGUCGCGGUGAAUACGUUCCCGGGCCUU
rnacentral:rRNA from 1 species